AUGAUCAACAUGGGUAUAUGUCACCUCAGACUGAGAUACAGAGAUAAAGUUACUAGACACCUUAAAUGACUCUUCCUUGGAGCAGCUAGUCCUGGAACCCACAAGGGGAGAGGAAAUUCUUGAUUUAGUCCUAAGUGGAGCACAGGAUCUGGCCCAAGAGGUGAAUAUACUUGAACUGCUCAGUAAUAGCGACCAUAA